rnacentral:rRNA from 1 species
GACGGAGGAUGCAAGUGUUAUCCGGAAUCACUGGGCGUAAAGGGUGCGUAGGCGGAUUUCUAAGUCAGGGGUGAAAGCCUGAGGCUCAACCUCAGAACUGCCUUUGAUACUGGAAGUCUUGAGACCGGAAGAGGUAAGUGGAACUGCGAGUGUAGAGGUGAAAUUCGUAGAUAUUCGCAAGAACACCAGUGGCGAAGGCGGCUUACUGGUCCGGUUCUGACGCUGAGGCACGAAAAGCGUGGGGAGCAAACAGG